CCUACGGGAGGCUGCAGUGGGGAAUUUUGGACAAUGGGGGCAACCCUGAUCCAGCCAUGCCGCGUGAGUGAAGAAGGCCUUCGGGUUGUAAAGCUCUUUCGGCCGGGAAGAAAUCGCCUUGGUUAAUACCUGAGGUGGAUGACGGUACCGGAAGAAGAAGCACCGGCUAACUACGUGCCAGCAGCCGCGGUAAUACGUAGGGUGCGAGCGUUAAUCGGAAUUACUGGGCGUAAAGCGUGCGCAGGCGGCGCCAUAAGACAGCUGUGAAAUCCCCGGGCUUAACCUGGGAACUGCGGUUGUGACUGUGGUGCUUGAGUGCGGCAGAGGGGGGUGGAAUUCCACGUGUAGCAGUGAAAUGCGUAGAGAUGUGGAGGAACACCGAUGGCGAAGGCAGCCCCCUGGGUUGACACUGACGCUCAUGCACGAAAGCGUGGGGAGCAAACAGGAUUAGAUACCCUGGUAGUC
rnacentral:rRNA from 1 species